rnacentral:rRNA from 1 species
GUGAACGCUGGCGGUAGGCCUAACACAUGCAAGUCGAACGGCAGCACAGUAAGAGCUUGCUCUUACGGGUGGCGAGUGGCGGACGGGUGAGGAAUACAUCGGAAUCUACUUUUUCGUGGGGGAUAACGUAGGGAAACUUACGCUAAUACCGCAUACGACCUACGGGUGAAAGCAGGGGAUCUUCGGACCUUGCGCGAUUGAAUGAGCCGAUGUCGGAUUAGCUAGUUGGCGGGGUAAAGGCCCACCAAGGCGACGAUCCGUAGCUGGUCUGAGAGGAUGAUCAGCCACACUGGAACUGAGACACGGUCCAGACUCCUACGGGAGGAAGCAGUGGGGAAUAUUGGACAAUGGGCGCAAGCCUGAUCCAGCCAUACCGCGUGGGUGAAGAAGGCCUUCGGGUUGUAAAGCCCUUUUGUUGGGAAAGAAAAGCAGCAGGUUAAUACCCCGCUGUUCUGACGGUACCCAAAGAAUAAGCACCGGCUAACUUCGUG